UACGAGGGGAGCAAGCGUUGUUCGGAUUUACUGGGCGUAAAGAGCGCGCAGGCGGUCGUGCAAGUCGCGUGUGAAAGCCCCCGGCUCAACUGGGGAGGGUCACGCGAUACUGCUCGACUCGAAGGCAGGAGAGGGAAGUGGAAUUCCCGGUGUAGUGGUGAAAUGCGUAGAUAUCGGGAGGAACACCAGUGGCGAAGGCGACUUCCUGGCCUGUUCUUGACGCUGAGGCGCGAAAGCUAGGGUAGCAAACGGG
rnacentral:rRNA from 1 species